CGCCAGCCAACCGACAGAGAGGAAAGUGGGAGCGAGCAGGAGGGAGAGAACGAUAGUCGGCGCUCGUGCGUUUCGAGUGUGACUGACAGCGAAAAAAGAAAGAAGAGCGUCGGGAGACUGGCGGCGAAGGAGGAAAAACAGAGGCAGAGAGGAAGAAGAGAAGAAGAAAGAGAGGAAAAAGGAAACCGGGGAGGAAACCGAUGGAGAAAAAGAAGACGACCGGUAGACGGAACCCGGGGAGAAGUUGGAAAAGGGGGACGAAGAUGCUAUCGUCCCGCCGGGAAGAACAAAGAGAAAUAACGCGCGUGUAACGAAGACGAGGGCGUAAAGGAGCGAGGGUGAGACGAGAGACGUGAGACGAGAAACGGCGGAUAUAGAGGCGGCGUAUAGCGGCGGGGUACGCGAUGCGCGACUCGCCGGGGUGGAAGAGCGUGCGCGCGCGCGCGCGCACGUUUCUCUCGAAGGGGGAAGUCGAGGGAGAGAAGGGCUCCCUGAUCGCUUCUGAGUGCAAACGGUUCGGCGUGCGGUGGGACACUGGCAGGCGGGCGGCUGGCUGAAACUGCUGUGGAUAGCGGGUGGCGAGCGGUGCGAUACUCUACCUACGGGACGGGACGGGCCGAAAGCCGGGCCGGGACCCCCAUCCACCUAUACGAAACGCACACAACCGUUCGUCGGUCGGGUCUCCCCUCGCACACACAAUGAGAACGAGAGACCCGACGGACGCGCCACGCAGAGAGCGCGCCGGCACACAGCCGCGUUCUCACACUAACGGGAAACGGCUGGCUGACGACGCGACCCUGAGAGAUCGAUUGCCGUUCUACGAGACGAUAGGAAACGCGCUACUAUGUAAGAUGGAAGAUUGUCUAGCGUUCGAA
rnacentral:misc_RNA from 1 species